UACGUAGGGUGCGAGCGUUGUCCGGAAUUAUUGGGCGUAAAGAGCUUGUAGGCGGUUUGUCGCGUCUGCUGUGAAAAUCCGGGGCUCAACCCCGGACUUGCAGUGGGUACGGGCAGACUAGAGUGUGGUAGGGGAGACUGGAAUUCCUGGUGUAGCGGUGAAAUGCGUAGAUAUCUGGAGGAACACCGGUGGCGAAGGCGGCAUCCUGGACCAAUUCUGACGCUGAGGAGCGAAAGCCAGGGGAGCAAACGGG
rnacentral:rRNA from 1 species